CAGUCGCCGCGGGAAUACGUAGGUGGCAAGCGUUGCCCGGAAUUAUUGGGCGUAAAGGGCUCGCAGGCGGUUUCUUAAGUCUGAUGUGAAAGCCCCCGGCUCAACCGGGGAGGGUCAUUGGAAACUGGGAAACUUGAGUGCAGAAGAGGAGAGUGGAAUUCCACGUGUAGCGGUGAAAUGCGUAGAGAUGUGGAGGAACACCAGUGGCGAAGGCGACUCUCUGGUCUGUAACUGACGCUGAGGAGCGAAAGCGUGGGGAGCGAACAGGAUUAGAUACCCCGGUAGUCCUGUCUCUUAUACA
rnacentral:rRNA from 1 species